UUCCUAUCAUUCCCAUUCACAGGCUAUUGAGAAGGACGAGUUAUAUAGUCCCACCAUGCAAAGGGGCCAUGAAGUGUUCUCCAUAACUUCAAAAAGUAACCAAGUGAGCUGCAAGAGUAAAAACUAAGGUACAAGAAGACAGUUGUAGUUCCAAUGAGGGAGCUUCAGAACAACAUGGAGGGAAAACAUCCUUACCCUGAAAGCCAACACUCACUAAAAACUGAGAGCAAGGUAGAAGAGUUCACAGAAAUCCCUCACAAAGCACUCAGCCUUCAUUGAGUACACUUCAGCAGCCAUCUGAAGGCUAAAACCUGAGCAGAAGAUCUGAGAGAAAUGCCUGCCAGGCACUCUGAACUUUUAGAUGUCCUCCAAAGUUUGGAACUUGUCAACAAGACAGAGAGGGAACUUCCAUGCUGCAGAAAGUUUCCUAGGUGGCAAUAAUCACUUGAUUCAGUGACCAGACUCCAAGCUCUGCUAAAGGGAAAAUCCUAAAUCUGCUCCGAAAUAUUUGAACCAAAUGGUUAACUAAAUGUAACUAAAGUGCAACAAAACCUAAAUACAGCUUACCUACAUAGUGUAUUGAUUCAUCCACUCCCCAUACUAGAAACCAAAGGAGAGGCAUUCCUUUUUCCAUCGGUAAAUUUUAUUCACUUCAGUAUCUAUUAUACUUUUACCCCACAGUGUCAAGCAUACAAUAA
rnacentral:lncRNA from 1 species